UCAACAUACCCCAUGCAGUGAACCGAGACAUUCAUUUCCAACAAUAUAUCCACCCCAAAGGCACAACAAUAUUCCCACUGCUCACCCCAGUCUUGCAUGACAAGAAAGAGUUUCCCAAGGCUGACCAGUUUGACCCACAGCACUUCCUGGA